rnacentral:rRNA from 1 species
GGCGUCGAGCGGCGGACGGGUGAGUAAUGCAUAGGAAGUUGCCCAGUAGAGGGGGAUACCAGUUGGAAACGACUGUUAAUACCGCAUAAUCUCUUUGGAGCAAAGCGGGGGACCUUCGGGCCUCGCGCUACUGGAUACGCCUAUGUGGGAUUAGCUAGUUGGUGAGGUAAUGGCUCACCAAGGCGACGAUCCCUAGCUGGUCUGAGAGGAUGAUCAGCCACACUGGGACUGAGACACGGCCCAGACUCCUACGGGAGGCAGCAGUGGGGAAUAUUGCACAAUGGGCGAAAGCCUGAUGCAGCCAUGCCGCGUGUAUGAAGAAGGCCUUCGGGUUGUAAAGUACUUUCAGUUGUGAGGAAGGGUGUGUAGUUAAUAACUGCAUAUUUUGACGUUAGCAACAGAAGAAGCACCGGCUAACUCCGUGCCAGCAGCCGCGGUAAUACGGAGGGUGCGAGCGUUAAUCGGAAUUACUGGGCGUAAAGCGCAUGCAGGUGGUUUGUUAAGUCAGAUGUGAAAGCCCGGGGCUCAACCUCGGAAGGUCAUUUGAAACUGGCAAACUAGAGUACUGUAGAGGGGGGUAGAAUUUCAGGUGUAGCGGUGAAAUGCGUAGAGAUCUGAAGGAAUACCAGUGGCGAAGGCGGCCCCCUGGACAGAUACUGACACUCAGAUGCGAAAGCGUGGGGAGCAAACAGGAUUAGAUACCCUGGUAGUCCACGCCGUAAACGAUGUCUACUUGGAGGUUGUGGCCUUGAGCCGUGGCUUUCGGAGCUAACGCGUUAAGUAGACCGCCUGGGGAGUACGGUCGCAAGAUUAAAACUCAAAUGAAUUGACGGGGGCCCGCACAAGCGGUGGAGCAUGUGGUUAAUUCGAUGCAACGCGAAGAACCUUACCUACUCUU